rnacentral:rRNA from 1 species
AAGUCGAACGAAACUUUCUUACACCGAAUGCUUGCAUUCACCGUAAGAAGUUGAGUGGCGGACGGGUGAGUAACACGUGGGUAACCUGCCUAAAAGAAGGGGAUAACACUUGGAAACAGGUGCUAAUACCGUAUAUCUCUAAGGAUCGCAUGAUUCUUAGAUGAAAGAUGGUUCUGCUAUCGCUUUUAGAUGGACCCGCGGCGUAUUAACUAGUUGGUGGGGUAACGGCCUACCAAGGUGAUGAUACGUAGCCGAACUGAGAGGUUGAUCGGCCACAUUGGGACUGAGACACGGCCCAAACUCCUACGGGAGGAAGCAGUAGGGAAUCUUCCACAAUGGACGCAAGUCUGAUGGAGCAACGCCGCGUGAGUGAAGAAGGUCUUCGGAUCGUAAAACUCUGUUGUUAGAGAAGAACACGAGUGAGAGUAACUGUUCAUUCGAUGACGGUAUCUAACCAGCAAGUCACGGCUAACUACGUGCCAGCAGCCGCGGUAAUACGUAGGUGGCAAGCGUUGUCCGGAUUUAUUGGGCGUAAAGGGAACGCAGGCGGUCUUUUAAGUCUGAUGUGAAAGCCUUCGGCUUAACCGGAGUAGUGCAUUGGAAACUGGAAGACUUGAGUGCAGAAGAGGAGAGUGGAACUCCAUGUGUAGCGGUGAAAUGCGUAGAUAUAUGGAAGAGCACCAGUGGCGAAAGCGGCUCUC